UUUGUGAGGAAAGUUUAAUAAAUGGCAAUUGGCGUAUUUCCUUUUAGCAGUACAUUCCUGAACCAAACAAAAGUACUAAUGUAAACACAGCUUGGCAGUCUAGCAUUGUAUAUUUGUCCUGUGCACUAUUUUCUGAUUUUUUAUUCUCAGUAUUGUGGAUUUUCUGGUUAUUUUCCUGGUUUCUGGUUUAUAUUUUUCUGAGUUCAGUUUAUCCAGCCUCAAACCGUUUUCUGGCUCCUCUUCAUGUGACCUUGGUAACAGCCACAAUUCUUCUGCAGCUCCUGCCAUCCUCUUGACUCGCCUUUGUCCAUUCUGCAUAACUUGCUUUUACUUACAUUUCUGUAACCUCAUUUUUUACAGAUUAAUGGGAUUUCUUCUUUUUUUCUGAGGAACAACUGAGGUCUACAUUCUGCCACAGAAUUUUUGCAGGUGGGAAGUUAUUGUCACCAAGUGAGUUUAAAUAGACAAGUUAUCUUCUCAUCUUUCCCUCAGUUGCAUUUGUGUGUGGAUCUUCAAAGCAAAAGCUUAUGUAAAUACAUGAAAAAAAAAAAAAGAUUACAAUACAAAAUACUUGUAAAACAUUAUUUUUUUUGUAUUCGAUGAAUUGUAAAUAAUUGAAAAUAGCUUUUAUAAUCUGACUCUGAAAACUGGCAGUCAGGAAGCAUAUAAUAAGCAUAUAUAUGUCAUAAAUAGACCUUCAUAUAUAGAUGGAUGUAGAAGUACAUCCCAAACAUCUAAAUAUGUAGACGUCUAGACUCAAACAUUAGCAGAAAUUCCUAAAAAGGUUAUGUAUUUUCACACCAAUCAUCAUAUUGCUUAUUAAAACAAUUGCGAUGGUAUAGCUACCAAAAACCUUAUUUCCCCAAAUUCUGUAUGCUACAAAAUUAUAUUACUGUCAUAUUUUUUUAACAUUUCAAGGUGUAAGGAAGAAACUGCUCUGAAAACAACUGCUAAAUUUCUAAUUACUUAUAGUCAGAAUUGCAGAUUUGGACAAUUGUAAAAAGCUGUAUGCUCAAACACAGUCUCUUUCAAACAAUCAUUGAGAUAACUGAAAAGUAUUCAUUUUCCCAUUGUAAAUUACUCUAUUUUUAAGGAAAGCAAGAUGACAGGAGAACUCUACAAGUUCAGAGUGCAUAAACUCCAUAACUAUCCAGAAAAUCAUAAAACCAAAUAAUUCCAGGUGAUAAACAAAACUGAGAUCAGAGCUUGAAUUCAAAAUGAAGAAUUAUAAUAAGUUUGGUACAAACACACACAUCUGUGCAACAAUAAAAAGUGUUCACCUAUUCCUCCAACAUUAUUUGUUACAUGCCAGAUUCACAAGAAUUUUUGGAAAUUGCUGAAGUGCUUCUAUAUCACAGUGAUCUUACUAACAGAUUUCUGUUUUGUGGUUGGUAUCAUUUCUCACAUGGUACAUAUUGAAAAGACUUCUCUGUUUCUGUCUGAUCACCUAUUAAUAAACUACUGAGAGCCAAAGAAGUUUGUAAACCUGCUCUAGAGGUCAGUGCAAUCACUGACAUGUUACCACCACCCUGAGGGGGAAUGUUUGCUUUCAAUAUAUGUUAGUCCCUAGUUACUUGGCAGCUUCCUAGAAGAAGAAACAGUUAUUCAGAAGAAAACCCUUCAUUACAUGUAAGAUCUGGAUGGAGGUUAGCAGCAGGAGCUGAAGAGGACCAGGUUCCUAACAGAAACCUGGUCUCAGCUGUCCAAAGUUCCAACAACUUAUGUCUUAAUUUUUCUUUUGCUGUGUGCUGCAGGUCUGAGAGCUCCUACCAGCUGUUACAUGUGCCCUUGGUAUACCUUACCUCACAUUCUAAAAACUCAACAACAAAAGGUAAGUAACUUCAAACUUAGUAUUUAUCGAAGCAGCAAUUUACGGAGCUGUUGCAAAUGGAAUUCCACUUUGUACCUUUGUGAAUAUACACAUGAUGAUUUAUUCUCACGUCUCCACCAGAAAUCUCUGUUGUGUCUGAUUUGGAGGCAUAGUAAAACAUCUGCAGUCAGAUGAGAGGAUUACACAAUGCUGGUAUUAGUUCUUUCACACAUACUGGAGCUUUAGUUUUGAUAAUUAAAUUUUUUUUUUAUUAAUUUUUAAUCACAUCUUUACUGAUUUUCUUGCUAUAUUAAUGGUGCAGUAUUCACAGUCUGGGAAGCAGCAUACAUAUUUUUUAAUUAAGCCAUUAUAAUGGGUGAAAAAGACUUUCAAGUCUCACGAAUCAACUCAGCAGCUGACUGUUGCCCAUCUCCAGAAACUUCCUCACGGACCACUGCUCCUUGAGUGCCUCCACUGCUUUUUCCCCAUUUAACCGAAAACUGAGUAAGGUGCUUGGCUGGCCCUUCUCUGAGUACUGGCAUAAAUUAUCUGCACAUCACUUUUAAUCUCUUAACUCUUUCUGAUAGUCCUCCACCAAAAAAAAAUAAGACUAAUAAUAAGUAAACGAUUCAUAUUUCUUCUUUCUGAGUCCCAGUUCCAGCUUAGAGGGACCUCUAACACAUUAGUUGUGGGAGCUUUUUGAGAGCUCAAGGGCCAGUGGUUAGUGGAAAAGAGUAUGUUUCAGGGACAUUUUCUCCAUGGACCCCCACCUGGGAAAAUGAAGAAAAAAAGCAGAUUUGAAACAUAAUCCCUCUGUUGGGCCCACAUGCAGGGUGGUUAUCCAGGCAGGAUGUGCACCUGGCUUGUACUGUCAUUCUUCCCUGUUUUUUGAGUCUGGCACUUUAUCUUACAUCAUUCCCUAAGAAAUGUACACAUUUCACUUUGCUGUGUUAUCUACAAUGGCAGCACUGUCUUCUGGUAAAAGUAGGGCAUAUUGGGAUCUAAUUUUAUAUUUCUCAAGACCCAGAUAAGCACUGUAGAUUAGGUUCUGCAUAUCUAAAUCCAUAUGGUAUUCCAUUAUGACACAAAAUCUCUGUUCAAAAUUCUAUUAUAGUCUCAUUUUGUGCAAUGAUUUAAUUUGACUUGUCCCUGUAAAAAUCUAUCCGUUGAGAUAAUUUUCAUUUUUCUGUUGUCCCUUCACACAGCAGCAAUCCAUCAUGUUAUUUUAAGGUCAUUUAAUAUCAUAUAGUAUCAUAUUUCUUCCUGUCAAAUUCAUUUAGAAACAAUUUGAAUUUGAUUCCUAUUUAUUUUAAAACACCUUUCCUGCAGUUUCUUUGCUGUUUCUGGUAGGUAUUUUGAAAGCAGAAACCCCAUUAAAAAUACUUUUGCAAUACCAUCUUCAUUUCCAGAAAUCUUCAAAUACUAGUCUUGUUUCUGAAAUGAGAUAUCCACUGACUGAAGUGUACAAAGCACACAUGCAGUUCAACCUGCAAAUUAUUGCCUAUACAAAAUAAUCACUAGUGCAUUUUCUCUGAAUUUUACCUUGGGUCUUGCUCACCUUUGACAUGGUGUAAUGAAAUUUUGAUGCAUGAAAAUGUUAAUUGUAUUUAUUUUCCUUUGUAUGUGAAACAAGUCCCCACCAAGUGGAAGCCAGUAUAUCAUGAAUUCUUGUCAUACAAGGCUGACUGUGCCAGCCCCCUGUUAGUGCGUACUGAUGGUAGAAUCAGGAAACAUAAUAGCUUAGAAAGGUUUUAAUGUUUUGAUGGAACAGUGUAAUUAGGUAUAUCUAAACAAGAAUUACGAACUUUGUAGGGUUUGAGAAAUCUUGCUGUGGAAUAGAAUGGCAUACUAACUUAAUUUACCUUUGAUUAAAGAUCAGUGUAGAAAAGAAACAAAUGGCAGCAGUGAAUAACAACAAUAAUAAAAGCUGCAGGGUAACAGGAGAGCUGGCUGCAAACGGCACUUCCCACUAAGACAUACACUGUGUCAAAGCAAAGCUGUUAGGAUGACACAAAAUGCAGUCACAGAGAUCGAUGCAUUUCAAGGAUGAGGAAUACUGUCAUGUAAAUACCCCUUCAAUAGAAGUUCUUAAACACUAAAAGCAGCAAGGAAAAUCUCAGAUGAAAAUGCUCUCUCACAGUCAUACAAGAACAGAAUGGAACACGUCUGAAAACAAACUUAAAUGUUGUGACAGAAAAAAACUACACAUGAAAACUUAUCUGCAUCUCUUGGAUAGUAUCUGAUGCAAGAAGGGAUAAAAGAUAUGACAGGAUAUGAAAUGAGUGAGGGCUUUGAGUUAGGUACAGCAAAAAGCAAGAUAUCAUACGCCAAAAUAUUGAAAAAAGUGGUCUCUAUAAAUGCAGUAUUUUAAAAACAAAACAUAGAUAAAACUCUCUUCUGUUUUUGUGCCACAUUUUUGGCUCUUGGAGAGAAAUACAACUGUGCUGCGUAGUCUAAAUCAGUCCUUUGUCUAGCUUUUCCCUUUCAUUUAAAUUUGGACCCUGUGAAAUGGGACUACUUUGAAUCACCCAGAUAACUUAGAAGCCCUGAUAAAAGACACUGGAGGAAGAACAUUUUAUGCUUUCAGCACUUGAGGAUUUUUAUGUAGAAGAGAAAACAAAAAGAGGUCAUGUAUUUCAUUCCUCAUUUAUGUAUGUGGAUAUUCCAGAAAGUACUGUCCGAAAAGGUUUUGUUAUUUUAUGUAGAGAAGGGGUGGAAAAUGAAGUUAGGAAAAUGUAGAUAUUGCAAAAAUAUUUGUAAACUUUCAAUUGUUUCAUAACAAUGGAAUGUACCUUAUUUAUUAGAUGCUUACUUUACAUUUGGAUUAUUGAGAUACUGCAUAUUGUCUUUACUAGUGUGUCUUAGGUUUACUUGGUUUAUGACAAAACUCCUUCUCUGGUUUGGACUUUGUGACUGGAUAGUGUCUAAAUCUGAGUGGUCUGAAUUUCUUUACAUUGGUAAAAAUUGGAUGAAAUAAUUUGGAUAGGCUACAAAAGACUAAGAAAGCAUAAUUUCCUUAAAACAUAACUUUUCGAAUACACGGUGAGGAGCUUAGUGCCCACUGUGGUACACCAAACAAAAUGGUUUGAAUCAAAUCUUCAGCUGAAAGUAAAAUAUUUAUUAUGCUACAGCUCAAAAAAGAUGUUUAGACAUUUCCAAAAAACUUCCUCAUUUUAAAUUUAAUUUAAUUUAAUACCUUACUUUUCAGGCUAAUUUGAUGGAUUGAGAAGCUUUGGAAAUAUUAUGAUAUUAAAUUUACAAUAUCAUAAUUUCUAGUGGGAUAAAAAUCCCAGUUUUCAUCAGCUGCUAAUGGACUCUGCAGACAUUCAGGCUGAUGAGGUUUGUGAUUCCAAACAACUGUAGAUGAAAAAAUGAGAAACAGUUGAUAAUAAUUAAAUAAUACAAAUGUAAAAUCACAAGUCUGAGACAAACACAUAGCUGUCAUGGUAUUAUUUCAUAUGAUUUUUAUGUGAUAUUAAAUACCAUUAAAUUGUAAUACUCUUAGCAAAACCAAAAUAGGAACAUACUAAUCUGCAUAUUUAUAUUUCAGGCAGUAAAGGAAUAAAAUUACACAGUAUUAAGUUAGCAUGAACAAAGUUCUGAAGAUGUUAUCUUUUUUUAAUGUGAAACUGAUUAGCUGAAAAUAAGCAAAUUUAUUUAGUUCACCCAGAAAUUUAAGGGCAAUAAUUCGCAGAAAUGACACAAUUGUUACCCCUCUUUGUGUGUAUUAAUUAUCUCAGACCAAGAUGUGGAAUUUUGAAGUAUGCCUGUAAUUAAACAUAUUUGCUGAAAAUCUCUAAAUCUGCAGUUUAUUUGCAAAAGCCUUAUACAUAAGUUCAAUAUUCAAAAUUCAAGCUGCUUGAUUAGGUCAGUAGGUGCAUGUUUCUAUCUCUGAAGCUUGAUUCUUCGUAUCAAAAUUUUGAUAUGAAUAAUUAAGAAUCUGAUUUUUGCAAAUACUCUUCACUAAUAUGCUCAAAAUUAAUCAAACAUUAUUGUUAGUACCUCUAUUCAGCAUAAUAGUUACAGAAAGAAAAUAAUACCCAAUUCAAAUUACUAAAGUGUCUACAUACUUUUCCAGUGAAAGGAAACCUAGUUGAUAAACAGAAUCUGAUUUAAUAAAAAACCAAAUUAUUUACUUUCUCAGCCUUUAAAGGAAGAAUGAUAUUAAUAUCCUUGCAUUAUAUGUAAAUACCUUAAAUGCAUAUGUGUAACAUAUGUUGCUAAUUUUACAUAUUUUUUUUCUAACAAAACCCAUCGUUUAUCUAAACUUAAAAUAUAAAAAUGAAGUAGUGACUUGUGCAGCUUGACAGAUUUAUCUGCAUUAUUUUGAUUCCUAACUUGGAAGAUAUCCUUUCACAUUUUUCAGCUGUUAAGCUAUACACCAAUAUGAGAAACUGCUUACCCAAGCUUUUUUUUCAGUGCCUCAGGAAAUGCUAACAAAACAAUUAAACAAUUACUUCAGUGGGAAUUGAAAUGUAUACAGGUAAUAAAUAUAUGGAGCUUAUUUUUUUUAAACUUCAUUGUCUGAGUGGCUUUCCUUUUACUGGAAGGCUUAUAGAACUACAAAAGCCAUGAAAACUCAAUGCUAACUUAAAAGUGCAACCUCUGUUACUUUAAUAUUUUUAUACUGAGUAUCAAGGCAUUGUUUACAGUAGAUAAUGAAAUGGAGAUGGGGCAGAAAACACACCUCUGAAAGACUUUCUGCACAAAAGGAUGAACACGUAAUUAUUUGCACAAAGCAUUAGAAAAUACUGUGAUAUUUUAUUAUUAAAAAUGCUGCUGAAAAGUUUAUACAUAUGUGUCCAGCCAUAUAUAUCUUCUAUCAUUACUUAAGGCAAAAAAAACCAAAAAAUUGCAAAACAAUAACAGAAGAAACCAUUGAACCCUGUGUGCCUCUUAAGGACAAGAAUAUAAGCCUGGUAAAGUACUUUUGUUUUUCUUUUACAGUUUCAAAGUAUAUUUUGAUAUCAUUAUUAUAGAAUUCUAUGAAGACCCUAUAAAUCUGUUCCCUCUAUAAAUCAUACAUCAGUCCAGAUGUAUCAAAUUAUUAAAUCAACUUGAUUGUAAUUACUUUUAAAAGCUAAAAUCAUUCACUUACAGGAACUUUUUUUACCCAAAUGUCACAAGCCUGACACAGUACUGUACAUAUUGCUAGCAGAAGACAAUUGGAAGUACUAAACAAAUACUGUAAUUCACAUUACAAACAUACCCAACUGAUUAUGAUGCCAAGCAUCAUUACCCUUUUUUUUUCACUUUUUUUUUUUUACUUUUUUUUUAAACCUUUUUUAAGAGUUAUAAACUGCUGCGUCUCAGCUGCGGCAUUACAUAGCUGGUGGAAAUGGCCUGGUAUAGAAUCAGCAUGAAUAUAUUAUUUGAUGGAUCAGUGAAAAAAACAAAACAGUUUUCCAUUUCCUACUAGUUGUUCUUUGGAGUUGCUGCUUCAUCACAUUCCAACCUGAGCUCCCAGGUCAGAUUUAUAGCACAUUUACUGCAGAUAAAGGAUUAUAUCAGCCACAUGUUGCAUUUUUAUCAUGUCAUCAAUUUUUUAUUUAUUUUUUACUUUUUUCCUUCAGA
ensembl:lncRNA